UCCGCCCCUAUAAGGACCACAGUGGAAGCAGGGAACGGUAUCAUUUCGAUUACACCGUUCCCGUUAUUUGCAGCGGGGCUUGUGGGGUACAG